UACUUACCCCAAUGUUUCUAUACUUAGCUACCUACAACAAGAACUUCAGAACAAUUUUAAAAGAUAAGAAAGGCCAAACAGUACCGGUUGGUGGACAGAAACAGAACAAGAAAGUUAUCUAAAUGGAUGUAGUUGUGCAGCGCCCUAUAUCACUUCACAGCUUCUCUCAGAAUGUGAAAGAUGGGAAGUCACAAUUACAAAGGAGAUCAUUCACAGUCUCCUCUUCACUGCCUGAGACAGCGGUUUCAGUGGCAGUAGCUGCAACUUUUGUUGGUGCAGCAGCCACUCUUCUUGUAAAGAGAUCCAAAGCUUCCGAGCCCACACAGUUAAAGAUUGAACUCAAAGACUGCGAAGAUUGUGGAGGUUCUGGUAUAUGUUCAGCCUGCAAAGGUGAAGGAUUCGUGCUUAGGAAACGUUCCGAAGCAAUUGCUCAGAAGGCAAGAGAUCUAUCCAAAAACAUGGCUACUCGAUUCACCGACGGGCUUCCAAAGAAGUGGAGCUACUGCACAAAAUGCACUUCUGGCAGAUCAUGUUCAACAUGUGGUGGAAGUGGGAAGCUAAACUUAUAGUUUAGCUUUUACAUAUAUGGAUAUGGUUUUGUUGAAAUCAAGAUUCAGAAUGAGAACUAUACAGAUGGAACAUUUCAGAAUUUGAGAGAAUAGGGUUUAAAUUUUCUGUUACUACAUAUUAAGAGGUAAUUUGAUGAUAUAACUUGCAAUAUAACUCUUCCACUAAAUAUAUUUA